UAAGCCGCUUCCUCAAGCCCUUCAAAAUUACCUUAUCUUCCCCCUAGUCCAGGUAGGCAGGCACACACUGAGAAAAGAAAGAAACAUCAGAAGCAACAGGGAAGGAUCAUCCCAGCCAAUGAAGUGGAAGGAAAGAAAGGGGAGGAAGGGAGGAGGAAGAGAAAGGAAGACAAAAAGAAACACAGAAACAUCCAUAACCGAAAUUAAAACACGGUCUUGGAUCGGGUGCAUUAGAAACAUCCUUUUGUCUCUGAGCAUCUCUUCAGGGAAGCUGAACUGCCGGGUGCCAGUGACAGGGCUUUCAAAACCAAAUGAAGCUGUGGAAACAAGGAGGAGUCACCAAAGGAAAAGUAAGAGACGGGGAAUAAAGUGAAAGGGUUUACCUUUAAAAAUAGUCUUGU
rnacentral:lncRNA from 1 species